CCUUGCCAUACAUCAGUAAUCCUUUUUCAUCACCUUUAUCUUGCACCAAAAGAUUUUAGGCUCUCGUCCUUGCUCUAGUCGAGACUAUUUAGUUCUCUGUGCGGGCCCAGUCAUAUUCUACUUGCAAUCACACUCCUUUAUUAGCAUCUUAUCAACUGUAGCCAUGUUAGUGCGCAUACAUGAAGUUGAGAAUCUACUUUUGGUGCUGUAAUUGUUAGAGCUCAAGGAUGUGCUUAUGAGAAGCUACUGGAAAAGAUUAGCUAUGCCUGAGUUACAACGGGUAGUACAGAAGGGAAGCUUUCGGCUGAUGAAAGCAGAUAUGGUGCAAGCAGCCAAAAGGAGGAACCUGAGAUGAUAAGUUAGAAUUCCAACAGAGAUGACAACCACCAGCCAUUCUGAGGCUUCUAACUCUGUCUCAUUAUGCAUGACGCAUAACCGAAUGGCCUAACUGUUUGAAUUCCAGCUUCCAAGAGUGUAUAAAAAUUUCAGCAUCAAUUGGCAAGAGCUUGUAAGAAUGGAACAAUGCCCAAUGCCAGUAACUAGUAACUUCUCAUCUAUAGGUAAUGCAAAAGUGUAUCAGCUGAAGAAUUCUUCAACCUACAACU
rnacentral:misc_RNA from 1 species